UUGGCUCCGGUAUGUUUCAGCGA
rnacentral:miRNA from 1 species